GAACGACUCUCGGCAACGGAUAUCUCGGCUCUUGCAUCGAUGAAGAACGUAGCGAAAUGCGAUACUUGGUGUGAAUUGCAGAAUCCCGCGAACCAUCGAGUCUUUGAACGCAAGUUGCGCCCGAAGCCAUUAGGCCGAGGGCACGCCUGCCUGGGUGUCACAC
rnacentral:rRNA from 1 species